rnacentral:lncRNA from 1 species
UUCUGAUGAGUGUGCAAAUCAAAGAGCAAAUGAGAAGGACCGACUGCUGACACCCCACCCCCACCCCCCAGACCUCAGCUCGGAAGCUCCGUCUCGUCUUACGUGCUCCAUAGCAUAGCUGUGUCUUUUUCAGAGCUCUCGUUCUAUGUGACAGUGAAAAUUCCUAUUUCAUUAUUUGGCUGUAGCUCCUACUGAGAGUGGUACAGGACUCUCUCCAAUGGCACAUGCAAACCUGAGUUCAUCUGUAGGGGAAGAUGCUUUCAAGAUAACUCGGGGAAAGGAAGAGCCAUCACAUGGACAGUGCCAGGCAGCUCAAGUCAGGAAGGAGCUCCAGCUCAGACGGUGAGCAGAUGCCGGAUGCCAUCGAUGCCCAGGGACAGACUGGAACGCGUCUCUGCCUCUGUCCAAGCCAUCUCUAACCACAGGAGAAGGCUGUGCCUCCCCCACACUGACCCAGCUAUCAGGCUGAGAGUCCUUUGUGGAAUAUGCACUGUCGCUCCCUAUGGAGAACAAAAGGCUAUCUCGAGCUGGAAACGAUCAGCAGAGGUGAAAUGUGGCCGACGUGUGACUGGACUUCAAGAAGAAAGGCUGGGACUGAGGAUCGGCUGUAACUUUGUCCCUGGGCUCCCCAGCUGGUUCUUUCACAGUAGAGUCCCC